UUUAGAAUAAGGGAGGUAUUCCUGGAUGUGGCAGCUGCUAAUCUUACUUCAGUGAGGAAUUCUUAACUUUACCUCCUCAGAAGAAGGUUCCAGAGACACAGGGAGUAUGUUUUGGCUGAGGGUAGGAUAAUUUCUCUCUUAACAGGACAGGUGACAUUCUUUCCAAUUAUUAUAAAAAUUAAGUGUGUCAGAGGUCUGUUACUCACUGAAAGAGCAAACCAGCAAUUCAGCUGUAGCCUCUGGGCUUUUCUCUCUACCUGGUAGUUAAACUGAAUCAUUAGCUGUCCUGUAACACCAGCACCCUGUUUAUUCACUGUUUUUUGAAAUAGGAUAAUGCAGCACUGAAGCCAGAUAGCUGGCAAUGAAUGUGACAGUGACAUUCAAAGAAAACAGAUGCCACAAAGCCUGGAUCAUCAGAGGGAAAAAGUCCUGGCUGGGAAGGAAGAUGAUCUCCCUGGGAAAAUUUGCUCCUCUGCUCUGUGGGAACACUGAAAACCAACACUGGGAAGUUCCACUACCUUGAAGAGAGGCCACUGAGAGUUAAUUCUUUUUACAUUUAAACACAAAACAGCUUUCUAAUUUUAUAUAAUCAAGAAAUGGAAAACAAUUUUUAUUAACAUGUCUUACAUUUACAAUCUUUUAUUAGCUAAUCAACAUCAACAUGCAAAAAUAAGCGCUAAAUACAAACCUCUACAAUAUGGUUUUGUUUAAACUACAAUGGUUUAAUUCUUUUCAAAAGUCAUAAGGAUGUGUUCUGCAGUUGUUAAAAUUGAACUAUUAGUUUCAGUAAUGAAUACUAUUUAGACCCUAAAAUUAUGUAAUCAUCCUGCAAGGCAUCUUCAGAAACUUCGCCCAACACUUAAGAAUACCAGCUCAUUGUCAUGUGAGUACAUUCUCAAAGCAAGAAAUAAGGCAGUAGCACUAAUGAUUUCAUAUUGAACCCUAUGCACAUAACUAAUAACUUUAGAAGGACUUUAACACUAUGGUAGACUGGAAAAAGAACAUUUAAACAAGCAUUGGAUUUUGCCUGAAAUGUUCUCAGUUCUUCUUGAUACUUAUGCAACCUCCUUAAAAUAUUUGGGUUUCGAAAAAGACUUCACUCCUUGGAACCAGUCCCUAUUUGAUCCUCCAGAGAAGCCACCUUGUGUCAAAGACAUCAAAAAUAUCUUCCCAUGGAAAUAAGUUACAUCAUUCAUGUUCAGGAUUACUUCACCAGAGGAUCACAAAGAAGGCAAAGAGGAGCUUAAAGGAGAACACGUUGGUAGUACUGAGAUCUUUGAUAAGAAAAGGGUCUUGGACAAUUGUGAAAAAGAGGGAAGAAAAAUGGAUUUCAUUUCAAAUCUGUUGUAAGUUUUCCCCCAGUGCAAGUGUCCAUCUUUAAAGAAAGCUAUCCUUUAGAAGAUGAAAGUACUUUUCUUUGAGAAGAGUCCAAUUUUUGAUCUUAUGUUACAAAACCUUAACAAUCAAAAUUUGUUUUUGUGUUCUUUAUUCAAGUACAAACUUAAGUCAUAAUUCCUCUCUUCUUUUUUUUUUUUUUUUUUUUUUUUUUUU